rnacentral:hammerhead_ribozyme from 1 species
CUCUUACUGACGGGUCCCAAAUAGGACGAAAUACACAUCCUGGAU